CCACGUCCGGCCCAGGGAGAGGGACAGGCCGCCUGGAGGCGGCAGGCCACCGGCCAGCAUGGCUGGGCCACACCGCGAUGUGACUCAGGGCCCUGCUCCCAGGACGCGACGCGGCCACCACGCCCCUUCGGCCCGGAACUGCCUCCAGGGCCUCGGCCUCGACAGGACCACCGCUUCCACCUGUGGACGUCGCUUCGACCCCCAGGCACUCUGGACCUCUGCCUUGGAAUGGGGGGCUUUGGCGUUCCUUGCAAUGUUAUUUUCCACCAACAUGCCCCUGCCGGGUCCCUUGACCAUUGUCACCUGAUUCAAUAUGUAAUCUACUGAGAAGACAAAUAAGUGUCCCCUCCCAACCUCUUCCCUAGUGAUCUUUCUGUGCCCCUCUUACCUCUUGUCUCUUUUAUUUACUCCACUGGGCUCUGAUGAAAAAUUGUUGGCUGUAGCUUGGGAAGUUUAAAUCUGAGAACCGUAGACUAUUUCAAUUCUUGCAAAUAAAACCCGUUGAUGACUUUAAAACAAA